rnacentral:pre_miRNA from 1 species
CUACUACUCCCUCCAUAUGAAAAUACUUGUCAUUGAAAUGGAUGUAUCUAGAUGUAUUUUAGUUCUAGACACAUCCAUUUUGAUGACAAGUAGUUCCGGACGGAGGGAGUAUUAU